CGCUCCGGGUGAAGUGGUCGGAAGUAAUAGAGUUGGUCGUGGUGCGGCCGUGCGGCUGCGGCAUCGGCGGCACGUCAUCGAAACGAAACUUGUGCGGCUGGCAGUUGGUGCAACAGUGGACAGUGCGGCGAAGAUGAAUCGCUCAGCCUAGAACAGGAAUCAUCACAUCGACGGGUGCUUUGUUUUGACGUUGGUCUUGCUCUGCACGGAUCGUGUCUUUUCUUAGUCUACAUUCAGCAUCGUUUACAAGGCUCGGCAAGGCUGGCGUGGGUUCCGCAGUGCUAUGGCAGCAACGGGAACCAGCGUCGUGCUGAGGAGUUACGGAAGCAAUUUCUCUUGAGGCUUGCAUCACCGGCCGCGCGGCCGAUUGCACCCGCACAACCCGGCUGCGGCUCGCCUCCAGCUUCCAACCCCAUCGUUCCUGCUCAGUUGUGACAACCCUGUUUUGGUGCGCGACUUCAACGACUGUCAUGGUGAAGCAGGCCAAUAACAGGAGUGUGCGGCCUAUCGGCCACCGAUCUGUACCAACCAGACUGUACAGACCACCGAUUUCUUCUCCUUGCAUGUUCAGUGGGCGAAUCUCGAAAACCAGGUGCCACCGGGUGUGGAUACUUGGGACAACAUUGGAACAGUGAACCUGAAACACCUCUGCAGGAAUCGGUGCAUGAAGCAGUUUGUGAUAUUUGGGAACUUCAAAAGCCACAUUGUUGAUACUUGGCAGACGGUUAGCAAGAAAUGGAGCUUCACUUUGAAAUUUGACAAGGUAGCAUGCACCACCAAGAGUAUUGACCGAAGUUUGAGAUCAAACCAUGGCACUGCCCUACGGUUGGAAAUGUGAACAGUUGCUUGCUGAGGGAGAACUUCGAGCUUUUCUAUAGCUGGCUUGCCAAGCAGCUGCUGCUCUAGCUCU